rnacentral:sRNA from 1 species
GGACAUCUGAAACGUGUCGUAGGCGA